rnacentral:rRNA from 1 species
CAGCCGCCGCGGGAAUACAGAGGGUGCGAGCGUUAAUCGGAUUUACUGGGCGUAAAGCGUGCGUAGGCGGCUAAUUGAGUCGGAUGUGAAAUCCCCGAGCUUAACUUGGGAAUUGCAUUCGAUACUGGUUAGCUAGAGUGUGGGAGAGGAUGGUAGAAUUCCAGGUGUAGCGGUGAAAUGCGUAGAGAUCUGGAGGAAUACCGAUGGCGAAGGCAGCCAUCUGGCCUAACACUGACGCUGAGGUACGAAAGCAUGGGGAGCAAACAGGAUUAGAUACCCGAGUAGUCCCUGUCUCUUAACC